rnacentral:rRNA from 1 species
CGACCUGAUAGGGUGAUCGGCCCCCCUGGGACUGAGACACGGCCCAUACUCCUACGGGAGGCAGAGUAGGGAAUCUUCCGCAAUGGACGAAAGUCUGACGGAGCAACGCCGCGUGAGUGAUGAAGGUUUUCGGAUCGUAAAGCUCUGUUGUUAGGGAAGAACAAGUACCGUUCGAAUAGGGCGGUACCUUGACGGUACCUAACCAGAAAGCCACGGCUAACUACGUGCCAGCAGCCGCGGUAAUACGUAGGUGGCAAGCGUUGUCCGGAAUUAUUGGGCGUAAAGGGCUCGCAGGCGGUUUCUUAAGUCUGAUGUGAAAGCCCCCGGCUCAACCGGGGAGGGUCAUUGGAAACUGGGGAACUUGACUGCAGAAGAGGAGAGUGGAAUUCCACGUGUAGCGGCGAAAUGCGUAGAGAUGUGGAGGAACACCAUUGGCUAAGGCGACUCUCUGGUCUGUAACUGACGCUGAGGAGCGAAAGCGUGUGGAGCGAACAGGAUUAGAUACCCUGGUAGUCCACGCCGUAAACGAUGAGUGCUAAGUGUUAGGGGGUUUCCGCCCCUUAGUGCUGCAGCUAACGCAUUAAGCACUCCCGCCUGGGGAGUACGGUCGCAAGACUGAAAACUCAAAGGAAUUGACGGGGGGCCCGCACAAGCGGUGGAGCAUGUGGUUUUAAUUCGAAGCAACGCGAAGAA